rnacentral:rRNA from 1 species
AUUGAACGCUGGCGGCAUGCUUUACACAUGCAAGUCGAACGGUAACAGGCCGCAAGGUGCUGACGAUUGGCGAACGGGUGAGUAAUGCAUCGGAACGUGCCCAGUCGUGGGGGAUAACUACUCGAAAGAGUAGCUAAUACCGCAUACGAUCGAUGGAGGAAAGCGGGGGACCGUAAGGCCUCGCGCGAUUUGAGCAGCCGAUGUCAGAUUAGGUAGGUGUUGGGGUAAAGGCGCACCAAGGCAAAGAACUGGAGCUGUUCUGAGAGGACGACAAGGCACACUGGGACUGAGACACGGCCCAGACUCCUACGGGAGGCAGCAGUGGGGAAUUUUGGACAAUGGGCGCAAGCCUGAUCCAGCAAUGCCGCGUGCAGGAAGAAGGCCUUCGGGUUGUAAACUGCUUUUGUACGGAAAGAAAAGGCUCUGGUUAAUACCCGGGGAUAAUGACGGUACCGUAAGAAUAAGCACCGGCUAACUACGUG